AUACGUAGGGGGCGAGCGUUGUCCGGAAUGAUUGGGCGUAAAGGGCGCGUAGGCGGCGCGGUAAGUCUGGAGUGAAAGUCCUGCUUUCAAGGUGGGAAUUGCUUUGGAUACUGCCGCGCUUGAGUGCAGGAGAGGUUAUCGGAAUUCCCGGUGUAGCGGUGAAAUGCGUAGAGAUCGGGAGGAACACCAGUGGCGAAGGCGGGUAACUGGACUGCAACUGACGCUGAGGCGCGAAAGUGUGGGGAGCAAACAGGAUUAGAUACCCUGGUAGUCCACGCGGUAAACGAUGAAUGCUAGGUGUUGCGGGUAUCGACCCCUGCAGUGCCGGAGUAAACACAAUAAGCAUUCCGCCUGGGGAGUACGGCCGCAAGGUUGAAACUCAAAUGAAUUGACGGGG
rnacentral:rRNA from 1 species